ACAUAAUGACACUUGCUAAUUGAAUGAGUAAACAAAUGUGAAUGCUUAUUGAAAUGAUUCACAAUACUGAAGAAUAGUAUAACUGUAAUAAAGUUUAGUUCUCUAUGGCUGCUGAAGGUACUGUGCUGUUAUCUAAUUUAUCCUGUAACAACAUCUAUUACUAUAUCUUCUCAGUUUAUGAUUCUUCAGCUAUAACAUAAUUUAAUCUGGACAUGGAUGCUUAUUUAGUGAUAUUAUUACAUAUCCUUCUAACAUUCAAAUACCCAUUUUAAGCUUUUUAUUUCUCAUUUUGUUAUGUCUUCCUUACAGACUUCUCCCAGGGUGGUGGCUACUGUCAAGUCUUUUUAUGCUCAGACUACAUAACUCACCUUGGACACAAAGAUCCAAGGCACAAACCUCCUUUCUGCAAGGAUGCAUAAACUGCCUUCUUCUGCUGACACUGGGUACACACUUCCCCAGGAGCACCAGGGCACACCUUAAAAUGAUACAGCACUUCUCAAGAUGAAGCUCAAAAGUGAAGUCUGACAAGUCUGUCCCUAGCUCUGAGGAGACUCGUAAGUUCUGCUGCUGGGAGCAUCCUGCUGGAGCUGCUGGAAAUGAUCUUGUGGUCACUGGAGGGAAAAGACAGUAAGAACUGUUAAAUAGAUAACAGAAAGAAAGGAAAAGGGUGAGGAGACAAUGUCAUCAGUCUCAUCUGGUAGCAAAAUGUAAUGUCCUUUCUUUUGCAAGGGACAAAAAAGGAACUGGAAGAUAGAGACAGCAGGCUUGACCCUGAUAUAGAAUGAAUGUCUCCAGUCAAACUCGGGAAGUUUACAAGCUGUGAACUUUCUGCUUUGAGUUGCUAUACUUACACAUCAUGUAAUGGGGAGCUUUAUGCAUGUUUCAACUACCUUGAUUGUUGAAAUGGAGACAUUACUUUUGGAGCGACAUAUAUAACAUUUAGACAAGCAGAAUGGCUGUUCACAAUGAAUGACACUUGAAUUAUUUUGUAGGUAAAAAUCUAUUUUAUAACAGAUUCCUAAAGUAAUUGUUGUACAAAUCUGAAUUUCUUUUGUAGAAAAUAAGGAAGACCAUAUUAUGUGUUGAAAAGCUCUGGUACAUCCUAUUUUUGUUGAAAACUUUGGAAAUAUUUUUACUUUUAGUAAAAAUAGCAUUUCAUCUGUAACUGAAAACUAUUGUAAAGUAAAAUUCCUUAUUGCAGAA
rnacentral:lncRNA from 1 species